AUCCAGCUGAAGAGUCCCAAAUAGGACGAAACGCGCGUCCUGGGU
rnacentral:hammerhead_ribozyme from 1 species